rnacentral:rRNA from 1 species
UACGGAGGGUGCAAGCGUUAUCCGGAUUCACUGGGUUUAAAGGGUGCGUAGGUGGCUAUAUAAGUCAGUGGUGAAAACUCGAGGCUCAACCUCGAGACGCCGGUGGAAACUGCAAAGCUAGAGUCCGGAAGAGGAGAGUGGAAUUCCUGGUGUAGCGGUGAAAUGCGCAGAUAUCAGGAAGAACACCCGUGGCGAAGGCGGCUCUCUGGGACGUUACUGACGCUGAGGCACGAAGGCCAGGGGAGCAAACGGG